rnacentral:rRNA from 1 species
AGUCGAACGAAACUUCUUUAUCACCGAGUGCUUGCACUCACCGAUAAAGGGUUGAGUGGCGAACGGGUGAGUAACACGUGGGCAACCUGCCCAAAAGAGGGGGAUAACACUUGGAAACAGGUGCUAAUACCGCAUAACCAUAGUUACCGCAUGGUAACUAUGUAAAAGGUGGCUAUGCUACCGCUUUUGGAUGGGCCCGCGGCGCAUUAGCUAGUUGGUGGGGUAAAGGCUUACCAAGGCAAUGAUGCGUAGCCGAACUGAGAGGUUGAUCGGCCACAUUGGGACUGAGACACGGCCCAAACUCCUACGGGAGGCAGCAGUAGGGAAUCUUCCACAAUGGGCGAAAGCCUGAUGGAGCAACGCCGCGUGGGUGAAGAAGGUCUUCGGAUCGUAAAACCCUGUUGUUAGAGAAGAAAGUGCGUGAGAGUAACUGUUCACGUUUCGACGGUAUCUAACCAGAAAGCCACGGCUAACUACGUGCCAGCAGCCGCGGUAAUACGUAGGUGGCAAGCGUUAUCCGGAUUUAUUGGGCGUAAAGGGAACGCAGGCGGUCUUUUAAGUCUGAUGUGAAAGCCUUCGGCUUAACCGGAGUAGUGCAUUGGAAACUGGGAGACUUGAGUGCAGAAGAGGAGAGUGGAACUCCAUGUGUAGCGGUGAAAUGCGUAGAUAUAUGGAAGAACACCAGUGGCGAAAGCGGCUCUCUGGUCUGUAACUGACGC